rnacentral:rRNA from 1 species
GACGAACGCUGGCGGCGUGCUUAACACAUGCAAGUCGAGCGGAAAGGCCACUUCGGUGGUACUCGAGCGGCGAACGGGUGAGUAACACGUGAGUAAUCUGCCCCUCACUUUGGGAUAGCCACCGGAAACGGUGAUUAAUACCGGAUAUGACCAUAUGUCGCAUGGCGUGUGGUGGAAAGUUUUUCGGUGAGGGAUGUGCUCGCGGCCUAUCAGCUUGAUGGUGAGGUAAUGGCUCACCAUGGCUUCGACGGGUAGCCGGCCUGAGAGGGUGACCGGUCACACUGGGACUGAGACACGGCCCAGACUCCUACGGGAGGCAGCAGUGGGGAAUAUUGGACAAUGGGCGGAAGCCUGAUCCAGCAACGCCGCGUGAGGGAUGACGGCCUUCGGGUUGUAAACCUCUUUCGGUACCGACGAAGCGCAAGUGACGGUAGGUACAGAAGAAGCACCGGCCAACUACGUG